rnacentral:lncRNA from 12 species
AACAAUACCAUGGAGAUAUCCUUUGUUGUCAGUCAUGGAGAUGAGAGCAGAGGCAGGAAUCACCUGCUCUGAACUGCAUCAUUUUUGCUGACAUUCCACUGUGAAUUCUUUCUUGGUUGACACUGUUGGCCUGUAUCUGAUGAACUAUUCUAACUGUGCCAUCUGUAAAAGUCUGUACUUAUCUGAUAAGUCAAAAUAACCUUCAGUAAACUUUUCAAUAUUUGUGACAACAAAUAACCCUCCAGUGGAAGAAAAGGAGCAAGAAGAGUAGAGAAGUAGAGAAGGAGAAGGGAAGAAGAAGGAGUGAGAGGAGAAGGAAAGGCUCUAGCAAA